AUUUUUUGUUAAAUUGAGGAUAGUCUAAUCAUAAUGCAACAGAGGUUCCUCGCCAUCUGCCUGUUUUAGAAGUCAACUAGCUGGACAGCCUUCAGUGCAACACAUCUGUGAAACUGAAACCCAUCAACCUGGAUGGAAAAUGAUUUGCUGCCAAGGAACGCAGAGCGUGACAAAGACCUUUUUUAUGGGAAUAAGUAUCCAGAUCAACCACCAAAACACAACUCUCUCUGCUGGUUCAGGAAGAAGCGCCUUGCGGGUCACCAGACACCGGUCCACGGACCCAGAGGUGUCGCAGCAUUCGUGAGAAGACUGAAAGCCAUCUGAGGUUUUAAGACUACAGCAAAGCCACAAAUAAGAAAUGUGCAUCCAAUUAGAGACAUUUUAUCCAGCAGAAGCUGCGCCUGCAUCUUCAGGAAAG